rnacentral:rRNA from 1 species
AGGUGAACCUGCGGAAGGAUCAUUCA